UGGGCAACCUGCCCUCAGCUCUGGGAUAACUCCGGGAAACCGGUGCUAAUACUGGAUAUCGACUUCUGCCUCGCAUGGGGUGUUGUUGAAAGUUUUUCGGCUGGGGAUGGGCCCGCGGCCUAUCAGCUUGUUGGUGGGGUGAUGGCCUACCAAGGCGACGACGGGUAGCCGGCCUGAGAGGGCGACCGGCCACACUGGGACUGAGACACGGCCCAGACUCCUACGGGAGGCA
rnacentral:rRNA from 1 species